rnacentral:rRNA from 1 species
UACAGAGGGUGCGAGCGUUAAUCGGAAUUACUGGGCGUAAAGCGUGCGUAGACGGUUAUUUAAGUCGGGUGUGAAAGCCCCGGGCUCAACCUGGGAAUUGCAUUCGAGACUGAAUAGCUAGGGUACGGUAGAGGGAAGUGGAAUUUCCGGUGUAGCGGUGAAAUGCGUAGAUAUCGGAAGGAACAUCAGUAGCGAAAGCGACUUCCUGGACCAGUACCGACGUUCAGGCACGAAAGCGUGGGGAGCAAACAGG